AAAAUACAAAAAAUUAGCCGAGUCUGGUGGCAGGUGCCUGUAGUCCAGCUACUCGAGAGGCUGAGGCAGGUGUAUUGCUUGAACCCAGGAGGCGGAGGUUGCAGUGAGCUGAGAUCGUGCCACUGCACUCCAGCCUGGCAACAGAGCGAGACUCCAUCUCAAAAAAAAAAAAAUCACUAAAAUGGAUGUGUACAUUAUGUACAGCAUGCUUUCAACAUUAAGGUAAAAAAAAAAUACCGAAAGAUUGGACUUAAGAUGGGCCAGUUUUUCUAGGUUAAAGAUGCCUUCCAGAAAAAUGUUUGUUCAGCCAUGCUUUUAGCAAUCACUUAUGUGUAGAGAACUUUUCCACAUCUCCUGUAUUUAUUCAAUCAACAGGAAUUAGCUUAGCAGCAUAACCCAAAGACUUAUCAUUUAUGUUGCCUUAUGACUGAUAGUGCUAAUAAGUAACUAAGUCCUAUGAUCCUAUUAAGAAUUUUACAACAAAGAGGGGCUUGAGUGACCUAAAUAAAAAUCAGUGCCAAAUAAUAAUUUUCGAAGUAUGCCACAUUCUCAAGAGGUGUCCAUCUAUGGGGUGAUACUUGGGUAGGGGGAAUAAAGUCCACUUCUGAAUUGUGGGUAACAAACACAAGUCCAAAAGUGCCCUCCUGGGUUCAAGCAAUUCUCCUGCCUCAGCCUCCCGAGUAGCUGGGAUUACAGGCAUGUGCCAGCAAUGCCUGGGGCCCACCCAGGGCGGAAAACCGCUUAAAGGCAUUCUUAAUCCACAAACAAUAGCAUGAGCAAUCUGUGCCUUAAGGACAUGCUCCUGCUGCAGAUAACUAGCCCAACCCAUCCUUUUAUUUCGGCCCAUCCCUUUGUUUCCCAUAAGGAAUACUUUUAGUUAAUCUAUAAUUGAUUAAAACAAUGCUUAUCACUGGCUUGCUGUCAAUAAAUACAUGGGUAAAUCUGUUUGAGGCUCUCCGCUUUGAAGGCUG
rnacentral:lncRNA from 1 species